AACGAACGCUGGCGGCAGGCUUAACACAUGCAAGUCGAACGCCCCGCAAGGGGAGUGGCAGACGGGUGAGUAACGCGUGGGAACAUACCCUUUUCUACGGAAUAGCUCUGGGAAACUGGAAUUAAUACCGUAUACGCCCUACGGGGGAAAGAUUUAUCGGGAAGGAUUGGCCCGCGUUGGAUUAGCUAGUUGGUGGGGUAAAGGCCUACCAAGGCGACGAUCCAUAGCUGGUCUGAGAGGAUGAUCAGCCACAUUGGGACUGAGACACGGCCCAAACUCCUACGGGAGGCAGCAGUGGGGAAUAUUGGACAAUGGGCGCAAGCCUGAUCCAGCCAUGCCGCGUGAGUGAUGAAGGCCUUAGGGUUGUAAAGCUCUUUCACCGAUGAAGAUAAUGACGGUAGUCGGAGAAGAAGCCCCGGCUAACUUCGUGCCAGCAGCCGCAGUAA
rnacentral:rRNA from 1 species